AUGCAGCUCUGGAGCAGCCUGAUCCCAGAUCAGGCAGCUGCACCAUACCACAGUCAGCCUUCAGCACAGGCUGCCAAACCUCCAGGAAGGAUGAAGAGGUUGACACCGAGGUUGAUCACAGACAUCAGGGUCUGUACAUCCUUCCUUAGCUUUAUUCUGAUUGCAGCUCCAGCUGAGGAAAGAAGAACAGAAGGUAUUUCUCUGUCUGCAGCAGAAAAAAAUGAUCUCAUCCAGGGAUCACAUGAAGAAUUAGCUAGGAGGGUGAGAGGAAGAGCUACAAGACUGGAGACAGAAGGAAUGGCCACAGCAGAGCUAUGCAGCUGGAAGAAAGUGAGGGCCCUGUGCCAGAAGAAACCAGAGGAGCUGUAUGAAGACAGGAGCUGUCCAAGCAGACUGCUUUUUCUUCACUAGAAUUUAACAAUAUCUUUAUGCCAUAUAUCAACCAGAAAAGAAGAUGGCUGUAUCUGGGAUAUGUGUGAGUAACUGGAAGGAAGAAACUCCAGUGUUAAAAGUAUAUUCAGAAGCAGAAGUGCACAGAAAAAGGGUGAAAAAAAAAAGGGCAUCCUCUGCUGAACACUGGUAAUGCUUAUGGGACUUGGUAUCGUGGAGAGGAUGAUGAUAGCUGCUCCAAGAGAUCAGAGGGCGAGGGGCUGCGCCGUGCCUGCCUGAGCCGCAGGUCCGUGACCAAGGACAGCUCCCGCUCAGCCAUGGGACACUUCUCUCUGGGACUCCAGAGCACAGAUGCUCUGUUCCUGCUCGGAAGUCUGCUUUGGAACCAGCAGCUGUGACUUCCGAAA
rnacentral:lncRNA from 1 species